CCUGGUGAUUAUAGCGAGGGGGACACACCCGUUCCCAUACCGAACACGGUCGUUAAGCCCCUCAGCGCCGAUGAUACUGGCAUCUGCCGGGAAAGUAGGACGUUGCCGGGA
rnacentral:rRNA from 1 species